GACGAACGCUGGCGGCGUGCCUAAUACAUGCAAGUCGAGCGAAUGGAUUAAGAGCUUGCUCUUAUGAAGUUAGCGGCGGACGGGUGAGUAACACGUGGGUAACCUGCCCAUAAGACUGGGAUAACUCCGGGAAACCGGGGCUAAUACCGGAUAACAUUUUGAACCGCAUGGUUCGAAAUUGAAAGGCGGCUUCGGCUGUCACUUAUGGAUGGACCCGCGUCGCAUUAGCUAGUUGGUGAGGUAACGGCUCACCAAGGCAACGAUGCGUAGCCGACCUGAGAGGGUGAUCGGCCACACUGGGACUGAGACACGGCCCAGGCUCCUACGGGAGGCAGCAGUAGGGAAUCUUCCGCAAUGGACGAAAGUCUGACGGAGCAACGCCGCGUGAGUGAUGAAGGCUUUCGGGUCGUAAAACUCUGUUGUUAGGGAAGAACAAGUGCUAGUUGAAUAAGCUGGCACCUUGACGGUACCUAACCAGAAAGCCACGGCUAACUACGUGCCAGCAGCCGCAGUAA
rnacentral:rRNA from 1 species